GACGCAGACACGAAGAGAUUUUCUGUUGUUUUUUGAGCUGCAUGACGUGUCCGUGUCUUGAUUGCGGUUUCUGCCCUUAAAAGAGACAACCGAAAGGGGGCACACACAGCGCCAACUGCUACUUAAGGAGCCUCAUUCAGGAGCGGAUCAACGGAAAUCGGGGCCAGCGGAGGCAACAGCUACAGCUCCUGACAAUUGUUGCACAAUUACACAGAAGACCUAUGGGCACGCAACUUUUGGACGGUUUUGCGGUCUGCGGCAAGGAUUUUGUAAGAACUCAAACUUAAACUGAGAGAGCCAAAUCGAAUGCGAGUUCGGGCAGACGCCUAAGCCCAAAUCACGCCUCACUAAGCUGCAGCAACCGAACUCAAGUGGCUGCCUCAUGUGGCUAAUGUUGAUGUUGCACGGUGAAAAAAUAAGGAAUUAUAAGGAUACCAGUGGAAUCUAAUUUUUCAUGAAUCAGCUAAAAGCAAGAUUGGAGUAUAUAUGCAAUAAAACCCUUUAGAAUAUAUAUAUCUAAAUUUUUUUAUAAUGAUAGCCUAGUGUUUAUAGAAUGACAGUUAAGUAACUCAUUAAUCUUAAUUUAACAAAAUUAAUGUGUAGUAUUUUUUCUAUGUGUACUAUUGCUAGCGCUGCUGAUGUUGCCGCUGCUCCCGUUUUUGCUGAAGUUGCUGCUUCUGCUGCUGUUGUUGUUGCUGCCGCUGUCCUCGGGUUCGUCCUCAAUCACGCCAUCGCCAUGCACAUGAACUACAUUCGUCUUGGAGCGUCUUUGUCUUGGAUCCGCUCGAUGUCCGCACUGGCCCCCGAAUCCGGCGAGGAGUCCCAAGCAGAGCGAAUCCCUGUUUGGAUGUUUCUGUUUGCUGCGAAAUCAAUGUUGACGCAAAUACGUACACGCAAUGUGAUCUUCCGCUCUCCCCCCUUAGCCGGCUCACUUUUCAGCUGGCCAACUGCAAGUUGACUGCAGUCGAUGAUGCAGUAUCCCCGGCUCGGCGACACUCCCCAAACACCUUGUGCCCCCCCCCUCCCCCUUUUCGUGGGGAGCAGUAAAAACUCACUUAAUUUAGCAACUGCGAAGAGUUAAUCAUUACAUUCCGCCGGCCGAGUGGUGCGUGCUCGUCGUGAUAUCGAAGGAGGACCACAUGACUCAGCCGCCCGCCGAUUUCAGUAUCGAAAUCUGAGUGACGGAGCCGAGAAAUGGAUUAAGGGAUUAUAACGCCAUCAUAACUAAGUCAGAAAGUGUUACAAAAUAAUUAUUAUUAAUCUGUAAUUCAUAUAGUAUAUUAUAUAAAAAUACCUUAUUUUCUAAAAGAUUGGUGAAAGCCCCAACAAAUAACCGCAGAAUGUCAGAGUUAAUGGCAUUUCAAAAUCUAAUUCGCGGUUACACCAACUUUUAAGAAGAAUCAGGAAGUUGUUGCAAUUUAACCUACAAUGAAAUACGUAGAUUUGUUUGCUUUCGCAUUACUCAGCGAGAUUUUGACGAACAUUUGUAUGCAAAUGGGAAAAAGCAACUGGAACUAGACAAAAAGCGACACUUUAAUCAUUCUGAGCAAGCGCUAAACAUUUCCGACCAACAAAAACAGAAACUUGAGCAUAUUUCCGUUGGAUUUGGUAUCUAGAAAGAAGGUCUUGCGCUGAGAAAAAUAUAUUUUACUACAUAUAUAACUGAAGAAAGAAUUACAAAAACUACUUCUAAGAUAGCUUAUUCUGAAGAUGCCCUCUAUUAUAGAUUUUAUAAGGGUAAUAUAUAUUGGUAUUUGAAACGUUAAAAUAUAUCAAUUAAAUUUAAGCUGGCCAAUAUAGACAUUUGUAUACAAAGAA